rnacentral:rRNA from 1 species
GACGGAGGAUGCAAGCGUUAUCCGGAAUGAUUGGGCGUAAAGCGUCCGCAGGUGGCAGUUCAAGUCUGCUGUCAAAGACCGGGGCUUAACCUCGGAAAGGCAGUGGAAACUGAACAGCUAGAGUAUGGUAGGGGCAGAGGGAAUUCCUGGUGUAGCGGUGAAAUGCGUAGAGAUCAGGAAGAACAUCGGUGGCGAAGGCGCUCUGCUGGACCAUAACUGACACUCAGGGACGAAAGCUAGGGGAGC